rnacentral:rRNA from 1 species
CCUACGGGUGGCUGCAGUGGGGAAUAUUGCACAAUGGGCGCAAGCCUGAUGCAGCCAUGCCGCGUGUGUGAAGAAGGCCUUCGGGUUGUAAAGCACUUUCAGCGGGGAGGAAGGCGUUAAGGUUAAUAACCUUGGCGAUUGACGUUACCCGCAGAAGAAGCACCGGCUAACUCCGUGCCAGCAGCCGCGGUAAUACGGAGGGUGCAAGCGUUAAUCGGAAUUACUGGGCGUAAAGCGCACGCAGGCGGUCUGUCAAGUCGGAUGUGAAAUCCCCGGGCUCAACCUGGGAACGGCAUUCGAAACUGGCAGGCUAGAGUCUUGUAGAGGGGGGUAGAAUUCCAGGUGUAGCGGUGAAAUGCGUAGAGAUCUGGAGGAAUACCGGUGGCGAAGGCGGCCCCCUGGACAAAGACUGACGCUCAGGUGCGAAAGCGUGGGGAGCAAACAGGAUUAGAUACCCUAGUAGUC